ensembl:lncRNA
AAUCUUUAUCGGUUCAACUUUUGAAAUUUGGGGAUUCAAUUCUUGGAAAAGUUGCUUCUCUCAGGCUUCCAGGCCACUCCGGCUGUGCAAAUUUAACUUCUAUCGUGAUGGAAAUUAGGGGAAAUCCCUUGGUCUUCAGUUAUCCUUCAACCUUUAACAUUAUCCCGUCUAGAUCAUCGAGCAUUGAGAGCCGUUAACCUUCUUAGAUUGGCCUAGUGACGCCAUUUGCUCAUAUUGCAUUGUGUGACGUGCUUCAACACGCACGCACGCACACACACACACCCCCCCCGUUGUCAGGGCACGCACGUAUUUGCCAAAACAUGCUGCUGUCUUUUUCCCCAACAUGAGUGCCUGUCAACUCUCCAGAAAUCUGCGAUGUCUCCAGAUUUGUUCCCUCGAUGGGAAACUUUCUGUUUGUGUGGCAUGUUUUGUUGGUGUUUUGCGUGUAAAAUGACACUGACGUGACACGGCCAGUGUGUAUGUUUGCCCAUAAAGGAUGGAGUUUCAUGUCAUCCAUCUCCCCUGAAGGAGGAGAGAAGUAGUCGAGAGGAAAAAGUGGCUGAGGAAGAAAAAAAAUGGCACGCAAGAGGUACAUGGCUAAGCAGUGCCAGGUAAUAAUGUUUUUAAUGAACAGAUAGUUGAACUGAGCUGCUGAUUCUAUAUUUGCUCAAUGCUGCGCAGUUCCUACAUCGACUCAUGUUAAAAAGAUCUUGAACCAGGAUUUUUGCGUCCCUGAGUCCAUGGUUGGAAUUGUAUUGUAUUCUUCGAUUUUCCUCCGAUAAAUAACCAAACCUUACAGUAUAUUUGCCAAUGCAACUACUAGCCAUUGCUUCUACAGGUUACCAGGCUUAUUGAAGUAAAAUGCAUGCAACAAUAAAUGUUGCCAGCCCUCGGAAUGAAGUGGACAAGGUAAUCAUUUCAGCCCUUGUGUUUACAUGGCCACUAUGCUUCUUUUAUAAAGUAUUUCAGGCCCAUUUGCUGUUGGUAAUUGAGGACAAAAAAUUACGUAAUUGUAAAUGAUCUGAAGGGGAAAUAACGCCCAAACAAUUACUCAUAACGUGCAGCAAUUCUAACAACACGAAAUGAUUGGCUAUGCGCGUUGAACACGAAUACAAUGCAAAAUGAUUAAAAACUUUCAAAAUUCAGCAUUCUGAAACUGCAUAAAUUACACCUUGUUUUUUUUCACGUUUCAUGGUAAUAUUUUUAAAGACUCAACAUAACACAGGACGUCUAAACUCACCCUGAUAUGACAGCAUUGCAUACCAAUUUCCCACAGUCCACCUUUUAAAUGUUUAAAAAUAAUCUUUUCUUUCAAACCAUGUUUUUCAUUAAUUGGAUGUUUUAUAUUAUAACGUUUUCAUAAAAAAAAUACUAAGCAUUUUUAACCAUGAGCCUGUUUUGGAAUAGAAGUAAAGCACUUCUGUAAACAGACUGGGAAAUUAAAGAAUGAUUAUUUUGAUUGAUUUGGAUUUAAAAAAAAAUGUUUACCUUUUUUUAUGAUGGAAAAUGCUCCAUAUUCUACACAUUGGAGGAAUCACAAGUCUCACACUCAGCCCUCUAGAGCAUUCUCACUUGCACUGAAUAGGUGUAGAUGACUCUGUCAUUAACGUGUAUUAUAACAUAAACUUUUCCUUUUCAGUCUCAAAUUAAGCGACAUUUCAAGGAAAGAGGAAAAUUCUUCAAUUAGACUCAUGAGGCCUCACAAAGAUGCCACCAGUUCAGCGAGCGGCACCCAUUGGAAGUCCACCUGCUUUUCCUGGCCCCAUCCUGCUGUCGCCGACGUCUAUGCCUCCAAGAGGAGCUGCUUUCAUCUCCACCGAGUUUGACCCGACCAAGUUGGCACCGAGUAGUGUAAAACACCCGGAGGACUCCAUCCAGGACUCUAUAGGAGACACAGGCAUGCCUUUGGAUAUGUGCGCCGACCACCAGCUGGGUUCUCCCACAGCACCGGUGAUGACCCUGCCGGGCACGGGAGUCAUGCAGGGUUCCAGACUGGGCAUGCCCCCUCUGCAGCCUCCCCCCAACAUGCCGAAUCCUCAUCUACCUCCUUUCCUCUCGCCUCCAAACAUGUCGCACAAUCACCCGCAAAUGAUGCCCGGACGGCCCGUGUUUUCUCCGGAGAGGUUCAGGAUGCCCAUGCCCUUUCCGCCUCGCGGCCCUCCUUUCCAUCGGCAUCUCUCCAUGGGACCAGACGGCAUGCACGACAGGGAAGGGAUGCAUUUCAGAAACGGGAGAGCAGGGUUUGGGUGCCCGCCCUUCCAGAGAGGGAGGUGGUAGAAGCAGGCAGAAUGACAGACCUGAGGGGAGAGGCGUCGGGAUCACUGUGACGGAUCAGUAUCACGACAUCUGGUUCAACAAGGAACUGCUGUAAAUAAUUGAGGGUGCUUAGACUUCUUUUAGUACCGCACCCUUUUCUUACCGUCACAUGAACAAUCACACAGACAGUGUUCUGAAUGUGAUCCACGCACCUCCAAGUUCACCAGAGGAGAGACCUUUUGUUGUAAAUACUGUACAUGCUCGUAGCUGUUUGCUAUCUUUUUGUAUAUUUGAAGUGUGUAGUUCAUGCUGAAGUCUAAUCUUAGUAGUUGGAGGGGAAAAAACAAAGGCAACGUCUGUAUUUUUGAGCGUAUUCCCUUUACCAUAGUUUUUGUCUAAGGAAGGAGACUGAAAAUCUAUAAUUCAAUCACCGUUUUGGUAUUUAGUUUUUAGCGAAAUGGCUUUUGUAACACACUAAUGUUUAAUUCCUGAGUUAAGAAGUUUGAUUUCAUUUGAAGUGGAAGAUUCAUGUCCUGCCAGCAGAGGGUAGUGUAAACCCUGUUACCGCGGCCAACCCCUGUUGUACAUUAAGGUCACACCUUGUAACUCGCAUUGAAAAUUAAAAAAAGGUUUCA